GAUGAACGCUGGCGGCGUGCUUAACACAUGCAAGUCGAACGGAAAGGCCUCAGCUUGCUGGGGUACUCGAGUGGCGAACGGGUGAGUAACACGUGGGUGAUCUGCCCUGCACUUUGGGAUAAGCCCGGGAAACUGGGUCUAAUACCGAAUAUGACCACUUCUUGGAUGUUGUGGUGGAAAGCUUUUGCGGUGUGGGAUGAGCCUGCGGCCUAUCAGCUUGUUGGUGGGGUAAUGGCCUACCAAGGCGGCGACGGGUAUCCGGCCUGAGAGGGUGUACGGACACAUUGGGACUGAGAUACGGCCCAGACUCCUACGGGAGGCAGCAGUGGGGAGUAUUGCACAAUGGGCGCAAGCCUGAUGCAGCGACGCCGCGUGGGGGAUGAAGGCCUUCGGGUUGUAAACUCCUUUCGCUAUCGACGAAGCCACUUGUGGUGACGGUAGGUAGAUAAGAAGCACCGGCUAACUACGUGCCAGCCGCCGCGGUAAUAC
rnacentral:rRNA from 1 species